AUGUUGCAAUUUCUAUCCGUUGAUUCUACUUAUCUUUUGUCUAUCAAGAUGCUAACGGAUGUCACCCUCUUCAGGAUGGCUCCGCCAACACGUCAGAAUCCGGAUCGCAAUGAAGGGAGUCAAGCGAACCCUCCGGCGCCACCUCCACCUCCGGAGGCAUGGCAAGCAAUCAUGGCAGCCACCAACGCCAAUGCUCAGAUGAUUCUGCAACUCUUGCAAGAACGUACUCAAGGGCAAGGCAAUCAAGGCAAUCAAGGUCAAGGCAACAAUCAGUUUCACUUUGCCACUCUCAACCAGUUUCUCGCAAAUCAGCCCAAGUCUUCAGCUACUGUGCCGAGGCCACGGAUGCCGAUGAUUGGCUCGUGGACAUCAACAAGCAUUUUGAAUGUAGCAAUGUCAGGCCUGAGGACUUUGUCAAGUUCGCUUCUUUCCAGCUCAAGGACCAAGCUGCUGAUUGAUAUCAACAAUACAAAGAUUCCAGAGGAGGUCGUGUGA
rnacentral:rRNA from 1 species